GAGCGGAUGACGGGAGCUUGCUCCCGAAUUCAGCGGCGGACGGGUGAGUAAUGCCUAGGAAUCUGCCUGGUAGUGGGGGACAACGUCUCGAAAGGGACGCUAAUACCGCAUACGUCCUACGGGAGAAAGUGGGGGAUCUUCGGACCUCACGCUAUCAGAUGAGCCUAGGUCGGAUUAGCUAGUUGGUGAGGUAAUGGCUCACCAAGGCGACGAUCCGUAACUGGUCUGAGAGGAUGAUCAGUCACACUGGAACUGAGACACGGUCCAGACUCCUACGGGAGGCAGCAGUGGGGAAUAUUGGACAAUGGGCGAAAGCCUGAUCCAGCCAUGCCGCGUGUGUGAAGAAGGUCUUCGGAUUGUAAAGCACUUUAAGUUGGGAGGAAGGGCAUUAACCUAAUACGUUGAUGUUUUGACGUUACCGACAGAAUAAGCACCGGCUAACUCUGU
rnacentral:rRNA from 1 species